rnacentral:rRNA from 1 species
AUAUUAAAAAAUACCACCCUGAACGCACCCGAUCUCGUCUGAUCUCGGAAGCUAAGCAGGGUCGGGCCUGGUUAGUACUUGGAUGGGAAACAAUUGUAUAAAAAAACAUAUAUUAAAAUAUG